UACGAAGGGGCUAGCGUUGUUCGGAAUUACUGGGCGUAAAGCGCACGUAGGCGGAUAUUUAAGUCAGGGGUGAAAUCCCAGAGCUCAACUCUGGAACUGCCUUUGAUACUGGGUAUCUUGAGUAUGGAAGAGGUAAGUGGAAUUGCGAGUGUAGAGGUGAAAUUCGUAGAUAUUCGCAGGAACACCAGUGGCGAAGGCGGCUUACUGGUCCAUAACUGACGCUGAGGUGCGAAAGCGUGGGGAGCAAACAGG
rnacentral:rRNA from 1 species